UCUAAACAGGGAGUGGGGGAGAAAAGAAAAAAGGAGAUUUCCACUUUUACCCAUGUGAUACAACAUUCGUUCUUUUACAUGAAGAGAAAUGCGGGAACACAUUCAGAUAAGUUUAAGCCUAAUUGCUCAACUCUGUCCUGCUCUUGACAUAUGUGAGGCAAGUCAGGCAGGUCUCAGAGCCUCUCCUCCAACAGAGUCUGAAAGAUCAGUGCCGCUUUCACCUUGAAACUCUGUCAUCUUGGAGAUCUUUGCUUUCUAGCCACACAGACAGCAGGGAGUAUGGAGAACUCACAAACACUUUUAAUUGCCUUGGACCAGCAGGGACACGCUGCUUGAACUCACAUCCCCAUUGGUGAGGACUCAGUCACCUGAUUCUGCCCAACUGCAAGGAAGGCUGAGAAAUGUAGUGAACUUCAUCUCUUCCAGCUUAGCAGCACAGACCUGAUGUUGACAUUUGGUUUAAAAUGUGCAUUGUUGCUUUUUAGAAAAGAAAUCUGGUAGCGGGCAAGGAGAAAUUCUAUCAUUUGUAUCUACUAGUGUAUUUAUUUUUUUCAGCCAAUUAAAAAGGAUUCUGGAGUUUUAUUCCCACUGAUUGGCAUUUCUUUUGAUCGUGUUCAAUGUCUUCUUUCCAAUGAGUUAGUGGCACAUUAGCAGUUCUCAUUAUUUUUCCUCUACUUUUAUGAACAGAGUAAGCUCUUUGAUUUCCUUGUUGCUGGUUUCAGCCAGCCACACUGGCAUGCAAUCUGGACAAAUGUGUCAUUAGUUUUCUUUAACUGAUCCUGGAAAUUGACUAAUUAUAUUUUCAAAAUAGAUAAGGUUUGCCUCCAGAUUGCAGAAUAAGAAACUAAGAACAUUUUACUCAGCAAUUCAAAAGAACAUUCAAAGGUUAAUAAACAACAACAGCAGCAGCAGCAAGAACAACAGCAAGAACAAAUAAUUCUUUGCUCAUGAAGGCAUAAGGUCAGGGUACACCUUUCCUGGUGCUCAAGUACCUGCUUAUCAUGUUAUAUAUAUUGAAUAAAGUGGUUUGAGUGGUUUCAUAACUUGUAUCUGUCUGAGUCUCAAACUAUGGUUAUAUAGGUUGCUUUGUCUUUUUGUCAACAAUGUGAAUUUUUUUUCUAUAUUAAUAGAACUAUAUUUUUUUACUUAUUAAUAGAACUUAUUUUUUUAUAUAUUAAUAGAUUUGCAACAGUGAUUAAAUGUAUUUCCUUAUCUAGGCUGAAAUCCUGAUCAACUUACUGUGGCAUCAUCACCCUUUUACCUAAUGAAUAAUUUUAGUGAUUGUUUAAAGCAGCCCUGGGAGCCCACUGGAUAAUCCCUGAAAUGGAGAGAAUCUGAUUUGCACAAGAAACUUUGCCCAAGUUAAUGAUUUGGGAACUGAUCAAUGGCCUCAAUUAUAAGGGUAAGCUGCCAGAUUCUUUUCUUACCUCUCAGCAGAUGGCACCAUGCCUUUCUUCUGUUUUCAUAAUGUUAUUUUGACUUUCCAAGUCCAAGGACAAUUUUUGUUGUAGGAAUUCUAGUUUUAAACUUUCUGGAUAUUUUCUUGUUUUAAACAAUUUUGAGCCUUGGAUAUUUAGGGCUAUCUCUUUUGCUUAUGUUUUGAAUAUCUCCUAGAGGACCUUGUACAAAUAUUUUGAGUUGGAUGCAUGUCUAUACAUAGGAAACUUGCUGACUUUUAAGUUUUUUCACUUCUUUUCCUUUUAAAGUCAACACAGUAUUUUUACUUCUGGAGAUUUCCUCUAUGUAUCCUGUGUAUCCUCUACACUGAGCCACUCUGUAUUUUAGAGUAUGUGUCACAAGCAAUUGAGAGGACAAAGGAGUAAUUGUGAUAGGCUACUAUCUAGAAUCUCCAGGGACCUGAAGAUUGGGCACAUUUUCUUCCCUCACCCUCAGAAUAGUGAUGGUGGAAAGAAAAGAGAAAUUGAGAAACAAUGUGAUAAAUUUAACAUAGAAAUGUGUUAGGAAUAAGAUCUGAUAAAAAUGAGUAGAAAAACUUGACAGUUGUUAACUUGAAAAAUGUUGAAUAACACAACAUACAAAUCUAUGUGGAAAGUUUUUAUGACUCAGAGGUAAUAGAUUUUUUGAUGUGCUAAAUAUGACAUUUUGGGUGGAGAAUAGGAGAUGGAAGGGAGACCAAAGAACAGAAGGGAAAAGAAGGUUAGAUCUAACUAAUUUUUAAGCUAUAUAAGAUUGUUGUCUUAUUGUCAGACUAUAUAUAUCUUAAUCUAAUUAAUCUAAUUUCCGCUAUCACCAAAUAAUAUAUAUAGUAUAUGUUUCAUUAUGUGCUAGUCAAUCCUAAUUUACUUUAUUGACCAGAAGGCAGGUGUUAGACAGGCUAGUUUCCUAUGCUAUGUCUAUUUCCUCAAGAAUUUCAUGCCUUUGUUUAAGUGGCAAUGUGCCUAGAAUUACUUGCAGCUAGGGAAAGCCAUGUGACCCAAUUUUAGCCAAUAAAAUAUAAAAGGAAAUCUAGUGGGUGGAGUUUCCAGAAAAUUAAAUCCUCCUUUUUCUAAUAUAGGGGAAGAAGCUCAGCUGGCAUGUGUCUUUUGUCCUUUGCCCCUCCCCCUUCUUCCUGCCUGGAAUGAUAACUUGAUGCCUGAAGGUGCCAGAGCCAUGUUGUAACCAUAAAGACAAAGGUCCUAUUUUAAGGAUGACAAAGCACGACACAGAAGGCACUCGGAUCCCUGAACCAUUGUCUCAUCCCUGGACUGUUCCCUCUGAGCAUCCUUGUAAAAUGAGGUUCAUAGCCUACUGUUGGCUCAGGCCACUCUAGUUAGUUUUUGUUCCCGUGCAGCCAAGAGCAAUCCUAAAUGGCUCCGCCUAAUUAGACAGUGGUUUUCUAAGUCCCUUGAUAGACUCUUUUCUGCUACUUCCAUGAUGAGACUGGAGGCCAACAGUUCUAUCGUCUGCUUCUGUCUGUGCCUAGAAUUGGCAUUGCUAUUCAAAAAAGCGUAAGUUACCUUGAGAGAUAUCUCCUCUCAGGUAACUAAAACAGGUGGCAAAAAGAAACAAAGAUGCUAUGCUUUGUGUUGGCUUGUUUUUUUCAUUUGAUCCCCUCGGCCACCUUCAAUCCUCCUUAACUGCUCUUUUGGAAAAUGCUUUGGAACCUAGUCCUCCCCUGUUCUUCAUCUCCAUCUCGUGCUGUCCUCCACACCCCUCUCCCGCCCUGCCUGCUUUCAUUAUGGGUGGCCACAAGGGCACAGCCCUCUGGACACAUUUUACCAUCUGUUUUAGAGCUCAAAAGACAUGAGAGAUGGUUUACUUCAAUUCUAUCAUUUCGCUGAAGAGGAAGCAAGGAGAAAAGAUACUAAAGUAAUUGCCCAGAUAAAAACCUCCAAAUGAAAUAAGACUUAUUGGAAGUCAAUUGUGUGGAACCAACACAAAUUCCAAUGGCAAACAUUUACAGUGCUUUUACUACAUGCCAGGCCUAGUGCUAAGCAUCAUUUAUGCCUUAUCAAGAUUUAAUCCUCCCAACCACACCAUGAGGAAGGAUUUGUAAACAUCUUCAUUUUACAGAUGAGGAAACUCAGGCACAGAAAAGUAAAGUAACAUCUCAAGGUCACAUACCUAGUUAUUUUCACUCCAGGAGAGUCUGAGCAAUGAAAUACCAAGCUGCCAAGCCUUCAUCAUAAAGGAUGUCAAGCAAGUUAGUCUAUAGUAUCUGCCAGAAUGGACAGUGAAAAUAACAUCUAAUUAAUCUGUCCCAGACUAAUAAAAAUUUAACAAAUUAUUCUGGCACAUAUUAAUCACUUAUAGGUAGUUUGAGGAUAGUAAGAUUUUUUGUUCAUUCACUUAAUAAAUGAGAGGCUAUUAUAUUUCAGGCAUAAGCCAGGCCCUGGGAAUAUAGCAUGGUACAAGUUCCAGUUCUUGCCUUCAAGAGUCUUACAGUCUAUAGGAGCAGAGUGAGAAGUAAACAGUUAAGAAAGUGAUUUCCUGGAGGAUCCUAUCAAAGCACAUGGAGGAGGAACUUCAGGCAAGAUGUCCUGGAGGCUGUGACAUCUCAGCUGUCACCUGCAGGCGAAGCAGGAUUCAAUAGGUGAAGCCGGGAGAGGCAUCCUAUGCAUGGGGAAUAGCAUGUGCUGAGGCCAAAAGAGGAGAAAGAGAACAGUGGAUCUUGGGAUGUCAGGCAAGGCGUGUGGCUGGAAUAUUGAGACCACAUGGCUUGAAAUAAGUUGGGGCGCUGGCGAGACAAGAGCAAUGGGAAACCAUCAAGUGGCUUCAGUCAGGCGAGCAAUGUGAUUGGAUUUGUAUUUUAGAAAAAUCACCCUGGCUGCUCCAUAGAGGAAAUAUUCAAAAGAUAUUUUUGAUUCUGCUUUCUAAAAUUUUCACUGUCUUUGUUUCUCACAUUCUUUGCUUUCAGACCAUUCAUAAUAAAUACUCCUCAGAACAUUUAAAGAGGAAAAACCAGAUUCUUUGCUUUUUCCACAAACAUACCAGGAUCCAGGGGUCAGACAGGAGCUGAGUUUUCCGUGCAUGCUUAGACAGUUUGGUAUGAAUUGCUUCAAGUGAAUAAGAACUACUCUUAUUAUGGAUUCAGGACAGAGGAGUAUGUUGUAUUUUCUGCUUUCAUGCACAUCUGCCUGUGUUUGUUCAAAGCCUUUGAUGGCUGAGCAGGAAGUGCAAUAGAGUUUGUGGUGACAAAUAAUGCACUUCAUUUUCCAGACUUACAAAAAUUGAAAACCUUUCUUGCUCUUUCUGAAAGGCCAAAGGUGCUACCCUUAAGGUCAUCUUUCUGAGUGCCUUCCAAGAACAUUCUUACCACUGUUGAAGACAUUUUUCUAAAAAUAUAUAUAUAAAAAAUCCAGUGACUGCUCUGUGCCACAUUAAAGUUGUGACACAAAAAUGAUGGUAGGUAAUUAUGUAAAUGGAAGCUUUCUCCAAUUGUGCUAAAUAAUAAUGAUGGUUCUUGUGUUCUUUGACUCAUUUUUGUGCUCCGAUCCAUUAACAUGUUUGCAAUUGCCCCUUCUAGACAAAUGCGGAUGAACAAAGCCUCCUGUUCAGCAUCAUAUCCAACAAUGACUCUGUAAUAUAGUUCAUGAUAUGAUGCAAAAAAUGUUGAAAUGUACAAUAAAUGUUGAAGAACAGGGAAGGAUGCUGAAAAGGUGAAACUUUUUUCACUUGUUCAUACCAUAUUUAUCUGCAGCAAAUAGGAAACAUUCAACUUGAUCAAACAUUCAACUUGAUUCCAAGAUUGCAGUCUCUGAGUCUGGUUAUGAUCUUUAUUUGACCUCUCCAGAUGACAUAUUUAUUAAUUACUUUAGAGUAUUAGAAAAAUUGGUGAGUUAAUGCUAAUUCUAUUUUUUUAAAAAUUCUGGUAUCUUAGAGGAAAUAGUCCCAUAUGAUUAACUCUAUAUUGGAUGCAAAGUUAUGGUUAAAUCAGUGAAUCUCUCUUUAGGUUCAUAGGUGGUAAAUGAAAACAGUCUCUGUAGUUGUUAUUUAAUGUUCUCAUAAACAGUAAUGAUUUAUUAUUUUUAGUACUCUUCCUUCUCCUCUUCCUCCUAAUUCUUCUCUAAGAUCUGUCUGCACUGUUUACUAGCAGGAUGGCUUUGAGCUAUUUCAUCUCUCUAAGAGCCCAUUUUCUGCAUUUAUUAUAGAUUCUAUAAAAUGUAGGCAAGUAAUCCUACCACAGAGCAUUGUUGUGAGGAUCAAAUAAAAUAAUAUGAGUGAAAGUAUUUUACACACUGUCUAGCAUACAUUAAGUUCUCAGUGGAAUAUGAGCUAAGUCACUGCUCUUUAGACAGCAGAGGUAACAUCUCAAGGUUAAAUGAAGGUGAGGAGGACAACAGAUAUAAGGCAAGUUCUUUUCCUAAUAUUUUUGUUCACUCCCUCCAAAUGCAAAGUGCAAAAUGUCAACAAAAUUGUUGCUGUCCAUACGCACUUAAUUUUAGGAAGGUUAAUGAGAAUUUGAAAGAAAUUUAAAAUGAGCAAUUGGUAUAUGCUGUACGAGUAUGCUAUAUUUUCCCUGGUAUAGUGGAUGUGAUUUUCUUUUUUAACUUUUAAUAGGAAGAGAUGUCACAUUGCUUUACUUUAAAAAUAUCAAGUUAAAUCUGGCUCUGGGCCUCUAAUCUCUAAGGUGUCCGGUUUUGGAUCUCUAAGACCAAGCAAGAACCCGUAUAACAAAUGUGACCUUGAAGCAUGGGUGUAACUGUCUUUAUCAUUGCUGUUUUCGGGCUCUGCCUUCCACUUUAUGGGAACUCAACCUUGCCUAACUUUUCAGGUUCUCCCAGUUGCCUCCUCCUUUGUCUCGCUUGGCCGGUGCCUCGCCUGAACCUCAUUGCCCCUCUGUUUCAGGCUUGAAUGAUACACCAUCUGGCAGGAUAUGGGAUUUGAUUUCCUGAGUGGCCCCAGCAGGCUGGACGGUGGUGUGGCUCCUUCUCGUGAAUGGUACUGGAGAACAUCAUCACACCAAGAGAAUAUAUUGCGGAGCAAGCUGGGAUCUCUCUUCAUGGCUUGCGAAGAAGGAUACAGCUCAUUGAGUCACAUCGUUUCACAUCUUUCCAAGCCUCCUUGUCCUUUGUCCUUACCCUCACCGGCCUAGGCUGUAUCUCCCAAAUAAAGUUUUACCACCUUAA